rnacentral:rRNA from 1 species
UGGGGAAUAUUGCAAAAUGGGCGCAAGCCUGAUGCAGCCAUGCCGCGUGUAUGAAGAAGGCCUUCGGGUUGUAAAGUACUUUCAGCGGGGAGGAAGGCGAUAAGGUUAAUAACCUUGUCGAUUGACGUUACCCGCAGAAGAAGCACCGGCUAACUCCGUGCCAGCAGCCGCGGUAAUACGGAGGGUGCAAGCGUUAAUCGGAAUUACUGGGCGUAAAGCGCACGCAGGCGGUCUGUCAAGUCGGAUGUGAAAUCCCCGGGCUCAACCUGGGAACUGCAUUCGAAACUGGCAGGCUAGAGUCUUGUAGAGGGGGGUAGAAUUCCAGGUGUAGCGGUGAAAUGCGUAGAGAUCUGGAGGAAUACCGGUGGCGAAGGCGGCCCCCUGGACAAAGACUGACGCUCAGGUGCGAAAGCGUGGGGAGCAAACA